CCAACAAGAUACUAAAACUCUUACCAACAAUGCUUUCCACAUUAAUUUUUCUUGUAUUACUGGUAGCGACAAUUCAAGCGUCUUCAGAAAUUAUUACAUAUAAGAAGUCGUGUUUCAACGAAGAAUGUCCUUCUUCCACGACAAGCUGCCACAAGGAUUUACUCACUAUAGCCCACGGCGAUGCCAGGGUUCGCAUUCGGUGUCUAGACGAAAAUGACACUGAAGUGCACAAACUCGAGCGGGACGAAUUUUAUCACUUCCGUUACCAGGUGCGGUAUUACGUUUUAGAAAAACCUAAAAUAAUGCGUUGUUCUGGGCUAGGACGUUGCGUCGUUGAAGAAGACAGUGCAGGAUUAUUCAAAAAUUAGACCACCCUCUGUUGCAACAACCACUGUAUCGAAGACACAGACAUUAUGGAAAUAGUCACGUGUUGCCAAAAGCGUUUCGAUUUUAAAUAAAUAAUAAAUAAUA